UUUUUGGGGUCUUGUGGUCGCAUUAUGGGUGCUCUGGUUGUAUGCUGCUCUGCCUAAACAAUCCCCAAAAUAAGCACUCUUUUUAUCUGAAGCUGUGGUUUAGGAAGUAAAACACAGGUGUACCCACUUCCACCUGUGGAAGGGACCAGUGGGAACAGAUCUGUCACUUAGGAGCUCGGCACCACCCAGUAGAGUUCAACAAAUACAGGCUGUCACACAAAAACAUUAGAUGGUUGUUUAGAAUGGCUUCCUUACAGUCUUUAAGAAGAUUAAGUGCUGGCUUUUUUUCUUUGGUCUGAACUUUGUAGAGGGACACCAGAAAAAGAGAGAAUGUGGUGAAAGGCCUCAUAACAUGACCCAUAGUAAAUAGGUUUAUUGGAAAAAAUACAGGUGAAAAUGAAGAUAUGCCAUCCCCAUCCCUUUGGAGCAAGGCUUGUGGAAUAGUUGUCGCAGAGCUUCCUGAGGCAAAAAUUUGUAGACUUAAAAAAACCUCCUGGGCUGAGCAGUGGUGAGCCCUGGAGGGUGGUGGCUGUGAUCCCAACCAAAUAAAACAUGUAAACACAGAUUUAACCUUCGAAUCCCUGGGUAAUUCCACUGGCUUCUAUGGUAAGUGAUUUAUUGGACCGAGACCAAGAAUGCAGCACUUUUGGAAGAGUAACCCUUGCCAGCGUAUUUAAUGCCUGCUUUAACAAAUUUUCUGGGUCAGUUUCUUCCCUUUGUGUGCCCAGUGCUCAUCAUCCCCUCGGGCCUGUGCUUUGUGCCAUCAACCCACCAGCCACGAACCGAACCAUGAGCCCCAAGGGCACCAUGGGACAUCACCUCCUCUGGUGGGAGGGGAUGAUGCACACCGUCAUCUGCCAUGUUCUGAAGGUGUUAAAUUGUACAGAAAUAUAUCCCACAUCUUUGUGGAGCAGAGCAUUUGAAAUUAUACACAUUAAAGUCAAAUACAGGAAACUCCAGAUAGUGGAAAUAGAGAGGGGUUUGUUUGUUUUGUUUUUUGAAUGAUUAAUACCAAACAUUAUUUCAUUCAGUACUGAAAAUCCUCUGCACCAGCCAUUGCUAGGUAGUCAAUAAUUCAGCAAGACAGUGUUUAUACAGUGAAAGUUGGUGUAAAAUACAAUUUGCAAAGCUGCAAACUGGACUGAGCUUCUGUUUACAUUAAAUACAUAAACAGCAGAGUGGUUUGGGCUGUAUUUUGUGUGUGUCACACAUACAGUGCAUGAUGCGGCUCUUGUGUGUACACAGCCCACACAUAAAUAUUUCCCAUUAAUUUAUUCAGUUAGGAAAUCAAGUGCCCAUGACCAAGGACAGUGCACAAAGUGUGUAAUGUGAAGUUUAUAUGACGAUGGCAAUAAUCAUGUUUCCCAUUGCAGAUAAGGAUACUUAAUAUUUAUGUAGUGCUUUCCAUUUUAAAAGCAUUUUAAAAAUAGUAAUUAGCACAAGCCUAUCAAGGGAAAAAUAAUUUGAGGCACAGAUUCCUGUGAGUGAGAGAGGCCUUGGGAAAGCAGUAAUGCCAGAAGAGACUUAAAUGUAGUAAAUGACAGCAAAUUAGGCAUGAAUUUGGAAUAGUGAUUUGACAGCAAUGAAGACUAAUUCAAUUUUAGUCUAAUAAGCAGAGGUCUUCUGUCACUGAGGAUGCUGAAAUCUCGUUAGCAGAGGGAUAUUGACAGGUGGAGAGAUGGAGAGAAGAGCAGCGUACAUGGGAAAGACUUCUACCCAUAUCCUCUGUGGAGUCAGAUUUCCAGCUCUUGUGGAGUAUGUAAGAUGAUGAGGGAUCUGGAGCAUCUCCCUGAUGAGCAGAGACUGCAGGAGCUGGGCCUGGCUCCUGCUACCAGGAGCCCUGCUUUCAGUAGGAUUAUGAAUGAGAUUCCAUCCAAAGACCCUUUUUUUUUUUUAUUUUAUUCAUUGCACAUCCCAGCAUGCAGAAUUACUGGAAAAAAGCUUGACUUGAAACAAGUGCCAUCAGAGAGGGCUUGGAAGUUUGAGACCUAUUGGUGCAAGGGACCCCCCUGACAACAAACAAGAACAUUAAAGUAUUAGAAAAGAAGGAAAAGAGAGAAUUUUUUGUCUGUCCGCUAAGGAAAAAACAAACAAACAAACAAACAAAAAAUCCAACCAAAAACCCAACAACAACAGAAAAAAACCCCAAAACAAUGAAAAAACCCACCAAAAAAAAUCACUGGAAAGGAAACAACCCAACUACAUUGCUGCUGAGGCAUAAUCUGUUGUAAUUGUCCUCAGAACAGGUCUUUUUCCAUACCUUCCCCCGGUUAUGGGAGUAGGAACCUUGCUUGGUGAGAUGCUUGAAGGCAAAGCCAUGUCAGACUUCCCAGGGGAUGCUGUUUUACAGCUGUGAUUUGAUGUUGCCUAAGUUUCUCCUAGAGCUUUAACUUUGCUGGAAAGCACCCAAAGAUUCUUUCCUUUCUGAAGCUCCUUCUGUGAAAGCUGUGGCUAGUGGCGGGAGGAAAAUUCCAUAAAUUCAUCCGUUGUGGCGUUGCCUGUGCCAACACGAAUGCAAGUGUGUGCUUUUUCUGCUUCCAGUGGUUUUAACAAUGCACCAACACGAUGCAGUGUGGAAAAUAACAAUGAAAACCAAGUGCUGUUUGCAUUGCUAUGUGUGCAUUGUGCUGCCUGGAUCCCCCUGGCUAAUUUAUUGCCUCCAUGUUUCACUCUCGAGGUUAAACUAAGUCAUUAUCUUUUGAAUGAGGAGGUUUUCUUUCAUCUUAAGGUGUUAUUUCUCCUCUAAUGCCUAUGGCUAAAUGCACAAGAAAUUUGAUGGUGGGUUUGACAUAACAGUGAAUUCUUUUACAGUGGUUUGACAGUCCCUAACAGAUUUUAUAGCAGUUUUCAUUCAUUUAAUUGUAAAAUUCAUUACAAAUACCUUUCAUUAUGUAGAAAAUAAAUGCUAUGUGAUUGAUUUCCAAAGUUUUAAGGCUUUAUGGACAGAAGUUAAUUUUUCAAAGCUUUUCCUGGUCUUUUCCAACACCCUAAAGAAAAUGCUUUGUCUUAUUACUUGGCUGAUUUCCCUGAAAUGUUGAGCUGUGGGAUGAGACUUUGUUUAAACAGCUCCAGACCCUGCACUGUGUUAAUGUGGAUGAUUUUGGGAGGAGCAAACUGUGUUCCAGUAAAAACACAGCAAUAAAAUUUGCAACCUACGACUUCCGUUUGAUUAACCGGAUUCUUUGGGAUUUGGUUUCCAGCAUCGCAGAUUGGGUCAGUAAUUGAUAGUUCAUUGUGCUGCCAUGUAAUUCAUGGGGGGGUUUGUAGUUUGGGGUUUUUUUUUUUUUUUAGAAAACCACAGCACAGGCAUGACUGUCUCCUGGCCAGGGAGAGAGGACCGAUUAGGCAACAGGAACUUGGAUCACUGAACUGCUUCUUCAUGAUGGGCUCUCACACUCUUGGCAGGCCCUGGAUUUGGAGGAGUUUGUAAUCCUGGCUCAGCUGUUUGUGUGCUGUAAUGUGGAAAAUAGCAUCCAAGGGGAGGUAAAAGUAGGAAAAGUCAGGGGUGGAGAGCUGUCAGUGGACAGGAGAGCCUGAAUUACUCUCUGAAAUGCAUCAAUUAAAACAAUCAAAUAUAUCAAUAUAUCAAAUAUAUCAAAUCAAAUAAUCAAUAAUCAAAUAUAACUAUCAUGAUACCUUUAUGGAAAAUUAAUGCUAAUUAACCCAACUGAGCUCAAAGUGCAGCCUGUCUUUAUUUCAGUGAUCUCGUCAAUUAAAAAUACGUGUUGCUUGCCAUGUCAUCAGUACAAUGCGACAUCGUUUGCUGCUCUGUGGAAAUAGUUACAUCUUUAAAAUGAGGGGGUGGGGGGUUGUGCAUGAAAUCUGCCACAGUGUUAAAGUAUUAUUCCAUAAGCAAAGAAAUAGUUUAUGGUUCAAACUAAACCUGGUAAGUACCAACUUGCAGUUACUCAACAUUAACCGUGUUAGUGAGUGUCGUUUUCCAAAAUCAAUUCUGUCAUUUUGGAUUAUUUUCUGUGCGCUGUAUAUCAAGGGUGUUUGUCUUGACAGAAAGCAAGAUACACUCCUCUCUGUCCUAAAUUAUGUGUUUAAGAUGAAAAAUAGAAUGUAAGGAUGAAUUGCUGUGAUGAAACAUACGCAAAGUUAUUUUUAUGUGUCUUUUAUUGAGGUAACCGUAGUUCUGCUGGAAAUUUCCAUUUAACUUGAAGCCAUGGCUGUCCAGAUCUCAGGACUUGCUCCAAUUCAUUAAAUACUUCUUUGACAUCCAAGACAUGUUUGAUUUGGUUUUUUUUAGAUUCUUCUACUAAGUUUCUAGUAGCACAGAAAUACAAGCCUGAGUGAUAAAUGUACUUGAACAACCAGACUUAAGUAAAAGAUUGUCUCAAAAAAUGCUCUUUAUUCACCUUGUGGUUAUUGGUUUAAUAUUUACCUCUAGACUGUUUUUAGUGUAUUCACUCAGAAAUACCAGUUUAGCUUUGUGACAGGAACUGAAGAAUCUGGGAAUAAACACUGUCCUGUCCCAGCAGCAAACAGAACAACUCAUCUGUUCCCCUCCCACAAAGCUCUUCAAAAACAAAUUUACGUUGGUGCUUACUAUCUAUAUAUUUUGUCUGGCAAACAUAUAAAUUCAACAUCUGUCUUUCCGUCAUGUAUUAGACAGUCCCCAAAAACCAGUCAUAUAUAUCUGGUGUAUUUUAAAUGGAAAUUUUAGUGGCUUUGUUCUGUGUUGGAGAGGACACUUUUAAAAGCUUGGAUACACAGGAGAGUAUAAUCUGCAUUUCAGGUGCAGUGUGUUGCAGUAUUCAUUAAUAUUAGGUGUCAGACAGUGCUGGACAGUGCCACAUACUAUUCUAAUUCGUAAGCCUUUUUUCAUGUCUCCUCCCUAAACUCUGAAAUUAAAAUUUGAGAGAGACCUCAUGACUUUCUGAGAAUGUAUGUGGUUUAGUCUCGGAAAUAGUCACGCCUAAGAAAGACCAGAGCACCACUGGUGACAGGAACAUUGCACAACAAAUUUCAGGAAGAGCAGUGAAGGUUGCUAAGCAUUUUAUCUGUUGUGAGUAGGAAAAACACUGUAUGUGGAUGAGUGUAAUUAGGUCACUGGUUUGUGUACCCAAAGCCCUAGUUUCCCAAUGUUUCUUAGAAUUAACAUGGACGUAUAUUUAAUGUAUAUCUUUGAUUUGGCUGAAAAACAUAGCUGAGCAAUUCCUAACUGCCUACACAUAGUUAUAUUUAUAUACAUGGCUUCAUAGACAUAGAUUAUUCCAAGAGGAUAGGCAAGGACAUAUCCUCCUGAAAUUUGCUCAAUAGCCUCCAAUUUCAGAUACAGUGAGAUUGCCAGGCUCUGAGAUACACCUUUGAUGCUGCAGAGCUCCCUGAGUAUCUGUCACAUAAGGGACAAGUUCAGGAGGCCUGUGGACCACAGGUAUUUCCUUGGAUUUCUUAUGGAGGUUGGAUAUUGCAGGAUGCAAACGAGUGCUUGGAGCCAGAGGCUGCAAGAAUGACUGGGCAGCCACUUAGCAAACUGCCUUCAAGAUGUGUUGGAAAAAUCUGUUUCCAAAUCUCUCUUUUAAGGUUGUUUUAUUUCUCCCUUAAAUGACAGGGUUGGAAUUUGGCCUUGCAAAAUAGUUGUUAAUGCAAAGUGCUUUACUUAUUGUGCUUUUUUUGCAACAACAACUUUACCAGGAUUCUUAUCUGUGUGGUUUUUCUCAGUGGUAACAACUCUGGGAUAACAGAUUGUGGAAGGGGGGGAAAAAAGUGUUCCUGAGAAGGAAGGAGUGGUAGAGACCACCGGUGAUGUCUCUGCCCUGCCCAGCUGAGGAGAGGGGUGAUGGAGUAGCUUUUGUGGGCACUGGGGUCAGCCACCACAACAUGCUUAUUCCACACUGGACUUUUCAUUUAAUUUUAUCCCCUCCACCCCCAACCCUUACCCUAACUCUAGCCCCACCCCCGGCCAAAGAUUAUCUUAAACUUCCCAUAGCACAAAGAAGCACUGUGAACACAUUAACCCAGCAAACCCUUUAGUGCCUCUGGAACUCCCUUCUCCAUUACAGGGGUUUAUGUUUGGAAAUACAUCAUCCACUUGAGGUUCUGCUGGAGUUGCAGUAUACAUAACCUUUUUAAAAACUGCUCCUGGCCACCAAAUGCUUUCACCCAAGUGUUUCUCUCCCUCACCCAGCUUUGUAACACUUCAGUUUUUGAUCAUUCUACAGGCAUUUAAUCAUCAUGAAGACAUUUUUAACAGCACAGUGGUUCAUCAACUUCAAGCUGUGUGGAGGCCAAUCAGCUCUGGUGAGGCAGGACAGUGCCUGUGAGGGAAUUUGAAUUGUCUGGGGUUUUUUGCUUUAAAGAGAAGUGUCUUUGGGCUCAGCAUUCUCUCUAUCAAUUUAAUUCUGGCUAUUCAUCUUGUAUUGAUCUGAACUGCUCACCAGAGACAGUUGAACUGGAGUUUUUGUCUUUUCAGGCAACGAUUGAAAGAAAAAAAAACCCCACCUUUGAAUUAAGCAUCAUCUGCAAGAAGAGUUUUCUAGGAAUGUCUGGUUUUAUUACACUCCUGUUGUCUAAUUUGUGAUUGUUGACACGUAAUAAGCACACAGAAGUGCUGAAGAUGAAUGACUCAAUAUGAUAAAUCAGUAACUUCCCUUCCUCUGGCCCUGCCUCUGAGGCUUCAUUCCUUUUUUUGAUCCAAACUUCAAAAGAAUUUGGAUUUUUGUAUUAUCUCAUUUUUAAUCUCACUCUGCAAAAGGGGGAUGGCUGUUUUUAUCCUCUCUGGUUUUUCAAAGCAGUAACAGAGAAAUCUUACAAGAGGUAUUUCCUUUCAUGAUUUUCUGCUGUUUAAAGACUAGAGGAGGACUGGGUGGUUCUGAUAAACCUCCAGUCUACUUCCAAACCUUCUGAAUCUGCUUAUUUUUGUAGUUCCAGGAAUAGAUCUAGGGUGCUUACAGGAAGAAAAACAACAUCUUACUAUAUAAAUUCUGUCUGGGAACAUGUAUGUUUCUUACUGCUCUGGUUUUGUAGCAGCUUUAGCAAUCAAAUAAGAGGCUUUUUUUCCCCUUAUAUCUUGUCUUUCAACUCUUUCUUCUGCCUUUUGAGCUAUUGCUGUUGAGCAAUAUGAAGAGUCAGUUAAAUGUCCUUAUCUGGGGAUGCAAAGCUUUUGUGACACUGUCUGUGUGUAGCAUCAGCAUCAGUGCUUCCUUUGCAAGCAGCUGUAGGGAAAACUUCAGGCAAAAUAUGUUCUGCUGAUAAAUGUCAGUAUUCAGGCUAAAUCUGUUGACUCAUUUUGUAGUAUUUUAUUAUUUCCUCCUCAAUGCAACGUGUCCGCAGCCUAGAAAAUGAGGAACAAUUGAUAAAUUUUAGAUGAACGCUCUUCUAGAUCUUUGAAAUUUUUCCUGACUCCCACCCCGUCAAGGGUCUCAGGGCCCUGUAGAAUCCCAGAAAAUAAGUGGCUUACGUGUGUGUAAUAUCCUUUUGGCUAGUAAUAUCCAAUUUAUUAUUUAAAUUUAUAAUUUUAUUGGUGGUUUAUGUGGUGUUUCGGUGUUCUGCAGUUAAAUGGUCUGUUUGCUUGGUCUCACUGCAUUCUCAGCAGAAAACAGCCUGCAGUCUUUUUCUUCUGCAACAAAGAAAGGGUAGACUCCAAAGAAUUAUGUUAAGCUCAAAACUUGACAGUUUGACAGUCUCAAACCCUCACUGUAAUUGCUUUCAUUGGUUCCCACCACGUUUAGAAGGAGUUUCUAUUACUGUUGCCUGAAUAUUGUAUUGCAAUUAGCAAUACCAAAGAUGAAAACAGAAAAUGGAUUCCUCUUCUGGAAAGAAAAAAAUUGAGACAUCAGGUGAAGAAGUGUACUUGAAAAAUGUGCAUUACUCUUUUAAUGUUUCCCAGUACUAUAGGGUGGAUAAAACCUGGUGGUUUUCCAUGAAAUGGACUUGUUGUCAAUAACUCAAGAUGCAGGUGUAAUUCAGUUUUCAGUGGUACACCUGGGUUGUUUUACUCAGGCAGCAUCUCUUUUACAUGUACACCAUGAAAAUUCUACUCUGAUUGACAUCUGCCUUCUCCUAAUAAAGUCCCAGUAGCCCACCUGUGUGGUGUUCCCUUUUCUCUUAAUGCAUCUGUAAGAUUAAAAAUACAGCACUGCUCUUAAACUCACAAGAAGGCAGACUGUCUCAAUUUGUCAGCGGUGCAGCACCAGGACAAUUUCUAGGCCUCUCUGUGUAUUAAAAUUUUAUGAUGUUUGUGGCUUGAAUGCUUCUUUGAGCCAGACCAGUAUGAGAAAACUUGAGUGAAGGUACUUCAGGUUUGUACUAAUAGAUCACAGCUGAAGGUGAAGUCUGGCUUGGGCUGUGGAAUUGAGACAGCUGGCUGGUGGCCAUUCUGGGUGCACCUCCUUUCCGGCCUUAGGGAAAUCAUCUCAGCUGGGAUGUGACUGGUGCUGGUUUGGCAGCAGUUAAGCCCAUGACCUUCAUCACCAUAAUGCUGGAGAGAUCUGUGUGUGCAUGAGUGAGGUGAGCCUGUCCCUUGCUCCUGGUACAGCUUGUAUGCAAACUGCUCUGAAAUCUCUGAAAUUUAAGGGCUGAAGACUCUUUCUGUGAAUUUGACUAUUUGUGGAAAUAAAAAGUAAAGGGGCUCAUUAGGAAGAAAACUCCACUUUAUAUAAAAAUUUUCACAAGAAAACCAUGCAGGGACAGUCCUAUCCUUUUGGUUAGUGAGGGGUUUGUUGUUUGUUUAAGGAUGAUACAACUUUUCUUAAAAAUCUUGUAUUGUAGACUCCUUUGCAUCAUUUACCCAACAAGAAAUGACUUGGGUAUUUGGUCUGCUGUUAAAUGCUCCUGGUAAAGUACUUACUGCAGACCCUGAGAGCUCGAAUGGAUGGAGACCUGUUGAAGUUUUGGAGGAGAAAAACUGGCUUUUGAAGCUUCCUCAGCAGGCUAUCUUAUAGCAAUUGCAUCAGAAGCUGCAGAUAUUUCUGUUUCUUGUAAUAGUAGAAGAUAUAUUUUGAGAGUGGCUUCUUUACUCCACAAAACAGAUGUUUUGAUAGGUGGGCUCUCAAAGGGAGGAUUGUUAAAGCAUCUUAAACCACAUAUCUGGAGUGAAAAAAGGUAUUACUAGUGAGUUAGGAAGUCUUCUCAGCUCAUAUUCAUUUACUUUAUGCACCCCAAAGUCUACCUGUACCUAUUUUUCCAUUUUUCCUUGUGUUUUCAAUGGACUGGAUAUGCUGUGUCCUCUUCUGG